CGCGUAGGCGGCCCUGCAAGUCCGAUGUGAAAUCCCUCGGCUCAACCGGGGACCCGCGUCGGAAACUGCAGGGCUUGAGGGCAGGAGAGGAGAGCGGAAUUCCCAGUGUAGCGGUGAAAUGCGUAGAUAUUGGGAGGAACACCGGUGGCGAAGGCGGCUCUCUGGACUGCUACUGACGCUGAGGCGCGAAAGCUAGGGGAGCAAACGGGAUUAGAUACCCCGGUAGUCCUAGCCGUAAACGUUGGGCACUAGGUGUGGGAGGUAUCGACCCCUUCCGUGCCGCAGCUAACGCAUUAAGUGCCCCGCCUGGGGAGUACGGCCGCAAGGUUGAA
rnacentral:rRNA from 1 species